CACGUAGGAGGCGAACGUUAUCCGGAUUUAUUGGGCGUAAAGCGCGUGUAGGUGGUUCUGUAAGUAGGGCGUGAAAGCUCCUGGCUCAACCGGGAGAGGCCGUUCUAUACUGCAGAGCUAGAGGAUGGUAGAGGGAGGUGGAAUUCCAGGUGUAGCGGUGGAAAUGCGCAGAUAUCUGGAGGAACACCAGUGGCGAAGGCGGCCUCCUGGACCAUUCCUAACACUGAGACGCGAAAGCUAGGGUAGCAAACGGGAUUAGAUACCCCUGUAGUCCCU
rnacentral:rRNA from 1 species